rnacentral:other from 1 species
UCGGCCCGAGGCUGUACGCCAGUCGUCGUGUUUUGAGCCAACACCUCAGGGACGGGAGUCUGUUUCAGGGGUUUACGCCCCGGUGGACACCCACUUGCGUUAGCAAGGUUCAAAUUCCCUGACGGCAGCGGCAGGCUGGGGCCGAU